rnacentral:rRNA from 1 species
AGUUCGAUCCUGGCUCAGAUUAACGGCUGGCGGGAUGCUUUACACAUGCAAGUCGAACGGCACGGACUUCGGUCUGGUGGCGAGUGGCGAACGGGUGAGUAAUGUAUCGGAACGUGCCUAGAAGUGGGGAUAACUACGCGAAAGGUAGCUAAUACCGCAUACGCCCUUCGGGGGAAAGCGGGGGGACCUUCGCCUCGCACUAUUAGAGCGGCCGAUAUCGGAUUAGCUAGUUGGUGGGGUAACGGCUCACCAAGGCACGAUCCGUAGCUGGUUUGAGACGACCAGCCAUUUUACCGACUGAGACACGGCCCAGACUCCUACGGGAGGCAGCAGGGGGAAUUUGGACAAUGGGGGAAACCCUGAUCCAGCCAUCCCGCGUGUGCGAUGAAGGCCUUCGGGUUGUAAAGCACUUUUUGGCAGGAAAGAAACGGCACGGGAUACCCCGUGCAACUGACGGUACCUGCAGAAUAAGCACUGGCUAAAUUACGCCAGCAGCCGCGGUAAUACGUAGGGUGCAAGCGUUAAUCACCAUUGGGCGUAAGCGUGCGCAGGCGGUUCGGAAAGAAAGAUAAAUCCCAGAGCUUAACUUUGAACUGCAUUUUUAACUACCGAGCUAGAGUGUGCGUCAGAGGGAGGUGUGAAUUCCGCGUGUAGCAGUGAAAUGCGUAGAUAUGCGGAGGAACACCGAUGGCGAAGGCAGCCUCCUGGGAUAACACUGACGCUCACGCACGAAAGCGUGGGGAGCAAACAGGAUUAGAUACCCUGGUAGUCCACGCCCCAAACGAUGUCAAAUCAGCUGUUGGGGCCUUCGGGCCUUGGUAGUUGUUAACGCGGGUGAAGUUGACCCGCCUGGGGAGUACGGUCGCAAGAUUAAAAACUCAAAGGAAUUGACGGGUGGGACCCGCACAUGUGGAUGAUGUGGAUUAAUUCGAUGCAACGAAAACUAUACCUACCCUUGUAGCAGGCACGGCCUGGAAUCCCGAAAGAGAUUGGGAGUGCUCGCAAGAGAACCGGAACACAGGUGCCGCAUGGCUGUCGUCAGGUCGCCGUGAGAUGUUGGGUUAAGUCCCUGCAACGAGCGCAACCUCUUGUCAUUAGUUGCUACGAAAGGGCACUCUAAUGAGACUGCGCGGUGACAAACCGGAGGAAGGUGAUGACGUCAAGUCCGCGGCCCUUAUGGGUAGCUCACACGUCAUGCAGCCGUCGGGAGCAGAGGGUCGCCAACCCGCGAGGGGGAGCCAAUCCCAGAAACCUGAUCGUAGUCCGGAUCGCAGUCUGCAACUCGACUGCGUGAAGUCGGAAUCGCUAGUAAUCGCGGAUCAGCAUGUCGCAGAAUACGUUCCCGGGUCUGAAGCACACCGCCCGUCACACCAUGGGAGUGGGUUUUACCAGAAGUAGUUAGCCUAACCGUAAGGAGGGCGAUUACCACGGUAGGAUUCAUGACUGGGGUGAAGUCGUAACAAGGUAG